GGCGCGGGGGCAGCAUGGAGGGCGCGGUGUCGGACGUGGCCGUGUGUAACCUGGCGUUCGCGGGGCGCCUCGAGGAGCUGCGGGCGCUGCUGCUCCGCGACCGGGCCCAGGCCACGCGGGCCGACCAGGAUCACCGCACCGCGCUGCACUGGGCCUGCUCGGCGGGACACACGGACGUGGCGGAGCUGCUGCUCGGGCUCGGCGUGCCUGUCAACGACAAGGACGAUGCUGGUUGGACUCCCCUGCACAUUGCUGCUUCAGCAGGCCGUGAUGAAAUUGUGAAAGCCCUCAUUGCUAAGGGUGCUCAUGUAAAUGCUGUCAAUCAGAAUGGCUGCACGCCCCUGCAUUAUGCAGCCUCCAAAAAUAAGCAGGAGAUUGCAAUCAUGCUUUUGGAGAAUGGGGCAGAUCCAGAUGCAACAGAUCAUUUUGAAUCCACCCCGUUACACAGAGCAGCAGCCAAAGGAAACCUAAAAAUGGUACAGAUCCUUGUGCAGCACAAUGCAACUUUGGAUAUCCGGGACUCUGAAGGGAAUACUCCUCUAUGCUGCUAAGUGGAAGCUGCCUGUUAAAAUAGGGAAGAGGGCAAUGGCACCUUCUGUUAAAAGAGCAACAGCAAAGAUUCUGCAGUCAGAACCAGGUCCAGCUCCUGCUCCUUGAAGGAAAUUAAGAUGGCUUUGGAUGGACUCCUUCAUAAUUUCCAGGUCAAUACUCCUCCCAUCCCCAUCUCCUGGAGUCUCUGCAUCACAAUGCUCUACAUGCCCAGUACUUAUGGAUAUCAGAGUGAUGAGAUGCACUUGGAGAGGCAAUAAAAGUGUCCUACUAAUCUCCACAGAAUCCUGAUUUCCUGACUGGAGGACACUUUCAGGACAUGACCUCUUUUCCAGUACCUGCCUUUCCACCACAUGUGAAGCUCUAGGAUCCUGUUGGAUGAUGUUUUUCUGAUGGAUUCAGUGUGUGACUCAGUCUUUGCCUGGAGAGCUGGAAAGCUCCAGCAUCCAGAGGGCCCUGUCAUUGGGCUGUCAUUUUCUGUUUGACAUUUUCUCAAGCUACUAGAAAAUGGAGGAUAUUAAGAAUUUCACUUGUUUGAGAUUGUGAUCUCUUUAUGAAUUCUGAGGACAGACAGAAUUUAUAAAAUAACAAGGGGGGAAAUGUUCAUCACUUCCUUAAGCAUCUUACCAUCUAAUGAGAGAACAAAUGCCACACAGUCAGAGUGUUAAUGAAGGCCCAAAGCUCAGAUUCUGAGCUCAGCUAGCUAAGAAAGCAAAUGUUCACACAUGUGUUGGUUUCUUUGACACAUCGCAUGACUGAGUCUGGGCCCAAAUCUCUUCUUUCAUCCCCAGCUUCUUUUCACACAUUUUUGUCAAAACUCUGAUCUGCAGAAGGUAGUAGGGAUAUCACAGGGAUAUCCCUUACUGGGCUUUUUGCAGAGGGAAUUGGAGGUAUUAAUAAUGACAAGUGUCUUGUCACAAUAGUGCACUGGUAGAAGAAGAAAGGAAGGGAGUCAGAAGCCUUUAGAGGAUUAAUCAUUCAGCAGCUUUAACUGAUGCAAAUAUAUUGAAGGAGCAGCUCUUUCAUGUUCUCACAGUAUCAUUCUUGUGGCUGAACUUUUAGUGAAUAAUUCCCACCAAGAACAAAUGUGUUUUCUCAGUGCAUUUGGUGUAACUGCCCUUCAGCAGUUAUUAUUAGAUGUCAGUUUACAUUAGGCUGUCCCUGUACCUCAUGGUGAGAUGGGAACCCUGCUGCAGUCAGAGAGUUUGGAAUGGAUUAGGGCUGGAACCCUGAGCUGACAGCAGAGAGGAAGCUGGUUCAGCUCAGUGUCCUUGGUAUCCAUCACAUCUCAAAAUGGUUUUAUAUUCUAGAAAGGAGAUCCAGGAUGAUUUUUUUUUUCUAUGUAAAUAUGUAGCCCCAAAUUUGGGCUGCCCAGCCUGGCUCACAUUCAGCCCAGAGGAUCCUUGUGGGUGCACACACCCUACAGAUACCCUUUGGGUAGAAUAUUCCUGAAGGUGCCAGUUCAGCCACCUAGAAUAGGUGGGAAGGAAAACCCCCCCCACAAAAGCUACAUCCAAAAUAAUUUUGACAGAAAAAAUGCAAUAAAAAAUAGGGUGAGUUAAAAAUUCUGGAUCAUGCAUCCAAUUCAACUUAUUUCAGUCAUGUGCGGCUUUUCAGAUUUCAAUACAGAAUAUGAAUACAGGUUUCACAGUAGCACACAUCUAGUAGAAGCUAUUUAGCUCUCUUUCCCCCUUAAGAUUAUGGGGAUUGUUUUCUUACCUUGUAUCUCCAGCUACAUCUUCCCCGUGCAUCUGUCACAUACACCGUCUUUUGACAAAGACUGACUGACUUUUCAUCCAUACUCAGAAUACCAUGGCAUGGGGAAUGCUGCAUUUGAGUAAAAAUGUGCUGAUCUGAGAGUUAAAUGAGACUUUAAAUGUUCCCCCAAAAUCAAAGAGCCAUUUCUCACACAGCUCCCCACCUACCAUCCGUGCUGAUCACGAGGGCAGGUGCCUCAUGUUCAGUGCUUUGUGCAGAAAGUACCUCAGGCCUUGUCAGCCACAAGGUGAAACCAGCUUAUUCCUAAAUUCUACCUAAAAUUAGACACACUAAGAUUAAAGUCUAAUGUUUGCUACAAACACCCCAGUUACAGCCUGAUUAUUUUCUUCUUGUCUGCACUUUGUGAUAGCCACAGGCAGUGCCCAUGGUCCCAGUGACACCCAGAGUCACUCCAAUGGCAGUGACACGUGUCCCAUGGUCUGAGUGACACCCAGAGUCACUGCAAUGGCAGUGACACGUGUCCCAUGGUCCCACUGACGCCCAGAGUCACUGCAAUGGCAGUGACAAACACCAGCAGCUCCAUCCCUCUGCUCUGCAGGUGCUGCCUCUGCUCCCCAUGGAGCUGUUCCUUACAGUGCCUGCUCAGGCAUCCAAGUGCUAGAUAAAACUCAGUUCUAAACAAUCAGCUGUAGGCAAAAGGAGAUGCUUAUGGAUGAGAGAGGCCCUUUCUUUGCAGGAAGUUUUCCUGCACUGUCUCAGGAGGUGCUUCCCACAGGCUCAUCUUUCUCAUGGGCUGGGAUGGACUGCUCUGCUCCCAGGCUGGUGUCCCCUGCAGCACUGACAGCUCUGCGGGAGCAUCUCAGGGGUCUUGCGGCUCAAAGUGUGUGAAGGUGUCCCCUGAACUGCUCAGCCUACAUGGAGGGGAAUUUGUUCUUUCAGAGGCUUUGAUGGAAACCCCCACAUACAGGGCUGGCCCUUCUCUGCCUCUCACCUGGGGUGGCCCAGUGCCCUGGCUGUGCCUUGCCUUGUGCUGAGCAGCUGAGUUGUGCUGCUAUUGGGACUACUGAUCAUCUGAAUUUGGGGUGUCAGCGUGGAAGGAGCUGACACAUCUGUGCUCAGGUCACUUUUCUUGUCUUUCCUCCUUUGGGCUUUCCCUCCUUGUCCCCUGUUGCUGACCAAUGUGCCACAAGUUCAUGUUUUUUGGAGAAGAUUUUCAUAAGAACUCUAUCAAUAAUUCUGUUUUGCCUAAAAGUAACAGGCAUCCAUGACCUUUACUCAUAUAGUGAAUUUAAAAUUUCAAUCAAGAAUCCUGCCCUGGGCACAUCUUGGUUGGCCAGGCAGUGUCCCUGAGCAUUUCAGUGACUUCAGCUGUGGGUGGCCUGGGGCUCAAGGUGUGGCCCAGGCUGGGUUCAGGAGUUGGAUUUGGCUUUGCAAGGCUGCAGCCUCGCCUGUGAAGAGUCAACAGAGGCUUCAGCUUGCAAACAUUUGCUUAGGUGCUUUACACUGGGGCCAGCCAGGUGACUCAGAGCAUGAAAUGAAGCACAGAUGUAGGUCUGAGCAGGAGCUGGGCUUCUGUGCUGGACCCUGGGUGAGCAGAGCAGUGUUAGCCUCAGUUUGUGGAUAUGUAAAAUAGAGAUCACUCAGUGCUGGAAAGUUCUCAAGAUCCUUGGCUGGUAGUUAUUAUUUCAAACUUAAAUGCAGCACUAAAGGGCAUAUUGCUAAGGGCUAAAUGGGAAAAAUAAAAAGUUAAAAAUAUGUAUGGCAUCCUAUUUUCCAUGAUUUUAUACUUACAUUAUUAAGUUCAAGUGAGGGAAAUUACUUCUACUAGAGAAACUUCUCAGGAAAAGAGCAGAGAUAGGCUCAUUUGGUAAAAAGUUUAUGUUUACCCACUAAAGCUGUGCUGUCUUCAAAGGAGUGCUGUGAACACCUGGCUCUGUUUGCUUGCCUGAGCAGCCUGGCUGUGGUGGCUCCUCCCUGCCCCUGGUGUAACUGCCAGGGCUGGAGCUGUGACACCUGUGGCAGCCCUAGGGAGGGGGGACAGAGCAGGACAGGGCAGGAAAACACCCCAAGAUGGGAAAUACCACAACAUGCAGGGGAUGGAAACACCACAGCAAGCAGGGGAUGGAAACACCACAGCAAACAGGGCAGGGGAAUACCACAGCAAGCAGGGGAUGGAAAUGCCACAACAAGCAGCAAAAGACAAAACCAACCUCACCAAGGCAGUGCUGGGAGGCAGAUCUGCAUCAGUAGCAGGGCUGCAAAGUAAAGAAAAGCACAGCCUGCCCUUGUGGCAAGGUAAAAUCUGCUGCUGAGCACUUAGGGACAUUAAAUUAACACUGACACUAGUCCUGCUCCUGGCAUUGCUGAUUUCACUCCAGGACUGUAUCUGAGUUUAUAGAUCUCAAAACGUAAAUCUGGACUGUAAGUGGCAGUGUAAAGUAAAGGGGUACCUAUGGGCUCUGCUUUUUAUAUGUUAUGUCCUAAAAUCUAGUAAUUUAACCCUCCCAUUCAUUAAUGCUUAAAGCCAAAAGCUUCUUAAUGGUAUAAAUUUGCUUUAAUUAUAUAUAACA